AUUGCGGUGAAUCACAGUAACUGAUCGAAUCCUCAAACUUGAGGAUGAAUCAUUCAAGUUUCUGCCCUAUCAGCUUUCGAUGGUAGUGUAUUGGACUACCAUGGCAGUAACGGGUAACGGAGAAUUAGGGUUCGGUUCCGGAGAGGGAGCCUGAGAAACGGCUACCACAUCUAAGGAAGGCAGCAGGCGCGUAAAUUACCCAAUGCAGAUUCUGCGAGGUAGUGACAACACAUAACAACCUGGGGCCUCACGGCUUACGGGAUUGCAAUGAGAACAAUUUAAAAACCUUAACGAGGAACAAGUGGAGGGCAAGUCUGGUGCCAGCAGCCGCGGUAAUUCCAGCUCCACUAGCGUAUAUUAAAGUUGUUGCAGUUAAAAAGCUCGUAGUUGAACUUCUGGCUGCGCGGCGUUUCGGUUUCGAUCGGGCGGACGCGCAGCCAUCCGCUUGUGAACUAUUACAGCCUUUACUGGUUUGUCUUAGGGAGCAGGCAAUUUACUUUGAAAAAAUUAGAGUGUUUAAGGCAGGCGCUCGCCUGAAUACAUUAGCAUGGAAUAAUGGAAUAGGACGCUUGUCCAUUUGGUUGGUUAUUGGACUCGCGUAAUGAUUAAUAGGGACAGUUGGGGGCAUUAGUAUUUAAUUGUCAGAGGUGAAAUUCUUGGAUUUAUUAAAGACUAACUUAUGCGAAAGCAUUUGCCAAGGAUGUUUUCAUUAAUCAAGAACGAAAGUUAGGGGAUCAAAGACGAUCAGAUACCGUCCUAGUCUUAACUAUAAACUAUGCCGACUCGGUUUUG
rnacentral:rRNA from 1 species